GGCACUGUGGCUUAGUUGGUUAAAGCACCUGCCUUGUAAAGAGGGGGUCCUGGGUUCAAAUCCCAGCAGUGCCU
rnacentral:tRNA from 2 species